rnacentral:rRNA from 1 species
CCUGGCUCAGAACGAACGCUGGCGGCGUGCUUAACACAUGCAAGUCGAACGCGAAAGGGACUUCGGUCCUGAGUAAAGUGGCGGCACGGGUGAGUAACGCGUAGAUAACCUGUCUUCAUGUCUGGAAUAAUACGCCAAAGGGGUACUAAUACCGGAUAUUCUUGCUUUUCAUAAGUUAUGCAAGCAAAGGUGGCCUCUGCAUAUGCUACUGCAUGAAGAGGGGUCUGCGUACCAUUAGCUAGUAGGUGGGGUAAUGGCCUACCUAGGCGACGAUGGUUAGCGGGUCUGAGAGGAUGAUCCGCCACACUGGCACUGGAACACGGGCCAGACUCCUACGGGAGGCAGCAGUGAGGAAUAUUGCGCAAUGGGGGAAACCCUGACGCAGCGACGCCGCGUGAGUGAGGAAGGCCUUCGGGUCGUAAAGCUCUGUCAAGAGGAAAGAAGUGUACAAUGGCUAAUACCUGUUGUAUUUGACGGUACCUCUAAAGGAAGCACCGGCUAACUCCGUGCCAGCCGCUGC